UACAGAGGGUGCGAGCGUUGUUCGGAAUUAUUGGGCGUAAAGGGCGCGUAGGCAGUGCGGUAAGUCUGUAGUGAAAUCUCCGAGCUCAACUCGGAGCCUGCUACGGAAACUGCCGUGCUUGAGUGUGGGGGAGGUGAGUGGAAUUCUCGGUGUAGCGGUGAAAUGCGUAGAUAUCGGGAGGAACACCUGUGGCGAAAGCGGCUCACUAGACCACAACUGACGCUGAGGCGCGAAAGCUAGGGGAGCAAACAG
rnacentral:rRNA from 1 species